rnacentral:rRNA from 1 species
AUAAAAACGAAACAAAACUUUCAACAACGGAUCUCUUGGCUCUGGCAUCGAUGAAGAACGCAGCAAAAUGCGAUACGUAAUGGGAAUUGCAGUGAAUCAUCGAAUCUUUGAACGCACAUGGCACCCAGUGGUAUUCCACUGGGUAUGCGGAGGUGAGCGCCUUA